AGGAAUUGUUCCUGGCAGGGUGGGCAGUGCCUGGCACAGGGUGCCCAGAGCAGCUGGGGCUGUCCCUGGAUCCCUGGCAGUGCCCAAGGCCAGGCUGGACAGGGUUUGGAGCAGCCUGGGACAGUGGGAGGUGUCCCUGCCAUGGCAGGGGUGGCACUGGAGGGGCUUUGGGGUCCCUCCCAUUCAGUCUGGGAUUCUGUGAUUUCCAGGGAUGGGAUGCUGACUGUCCCAGAGGUGCUGCCCUGCCCCUGCCCCAGCCCUGGGCUUGCCUGGGUGCUGGCAGUGGCACCAGGAGGGGAGGCAGAGCCACCGAGCUGCUUGUUUUCAGCCCAGUCUGGUUUGCUCAGCUGGUUUCACACCGUGUAAGUGAUGAGGGAGCGCUGAGGAGAGGGGAGCAGGGCUUUUGUGUCGGCUGUGUUUGUGCUGUGCCUGGCAGGGAGGCACUCCACACUGCCUUAAUGGCAAUAAAUACCUCCCUGCUACAGGUGCUAAUGAGGCUUCAUGUGUCUGGCUCAGGGAUCUGCCUCAGGAACCCUGCCAAAUCCCCUCGGCCUGGCUCCAGCCAGGACAGGAGCAGCCACGGCCGGGGCUCGGUGCAGGGAUCAUCCUGCCCAGCUCACUGCCCAAAUAAUGGCAUCACAUCUCCAAAGUCAAAAUCUGGUGGUUCAGUGAACUAAUUAUACGUGAACUGUCAGGUCUAAUUAUGGGAGCCAUUUCUGGAGACAAUGGGGUGUGCAUGUCCUGCUGUGCUGGGUCUGUGGCUGUCCCUGGUGGUGCUGCAGGUGAGGGUCACACUCUGGGGCCUGUCCCUGAAACAUGGCUGUGUCUGCUGCUCUGGGCCUGUCCCUGAAACAUGGCUGUGUCUGCUGCUCUGGGGCAGUGGCCAUGAGGCUGCAGCUGUGUCCUGCCCUGCCCAUCCCUGUCCAGGCUCUGAGGCUGCAGCCCAUCCCUGCCCAUCCGUGCCCAUCCCCAUCCCAUCCGUGCCCAUCCCAUCCCAUCCCAUCCCAU
rnacentral:lncRNA from 1 species